GUGCCCUAACAGGACACACAGCAAUCUCCCUCUUAGUUUAGGAAAGUCUCCUUAAGAAUAGGGCUUUUAAAGGCAUAAGAGGAUAGU